rnacentral:rRNA from 1 species
UGCCUAAUACAUGCAAGUCGAACGAACCAUCCUGAAGAUUGAAGCUUGCUUCAUGAUUCAGAUUUUGGUGAGUGGCGGACGGGUGAGUAACACGUGGGUAACCUGCCCAAAAGUGGGGGAUAACAUUUGGAAACAAGUGCUAAUACCGCAUAACAACUACUUUCACAUGAUCGUAGCUUGAAAGAUGGCUCUGCUAUCGCUUUUGGAUGGACCCGCGGCGUAUUAGCUAGUUGGUGAGGUAAUGGCUCACCAAGGCAAUGAUACGUAGCCGACCUGAGAGGGUAAUCGGCCACAUUGGGACUGAGACACGGCCCAAACUCCUACGGGAGGCAGCAGUAGGGAAUCUUCCACAAUGGGCGAAAGCCUGAUGGAGCAAUGCCGCGUGAGUGAAGAAGGUUUUCGGAUCGUAAAACUCUGUUGUUGAAGAAGAACAUGCGUGAGAGUAACUGUUCACGUACUGACGGUAUUCAACCAGAAAGCCACGGCUAACUACGUGCCAGCAGCCGCGGUAAUACGUAGGUGGCAAGCGUUGUCCGGAUUUAUUGGGCGUAAAGAGAAUGUAGGCGGUUUAUUAAGUUUGAAGUGAAAGCCCUCGGCUCAACCGAGGAAGUGCUUCGAA